rnacentral:rRNA from 1 species
AUUGAACGCUGGCGGCAUGCUUUACACAUGCAAGUCGAACGGUAACAGGCCGCAAGGUGCUGACGAGUGGCGAACGGGUGAGUAAUGCAUCGGAACGUGCCCAGUCGUGGGGGAUAACUACUCGAAAGAGUAGCUAAUACCGCAUACGAUCUAUGGAUGAAAGCGGGGGACCGUAAGGCCUCGCGCGAUUGGAGCGGCCGAUGUCAGAUUAGGUAGUUGGUGGGGUAAAGGCUCACCAAGCCAACGAUCUGUAGCCGGCCGGAGAGGACAACCAGCCACACGGGAACUGACACACGGACCCGAGUCCGACGGCAGGCAGCAGUACGGAAUCCUGCGCAAUGCGUGAGAGCGUGACGGAGCAACGCCGCGUGAAUGAUGAAGGUCUUCGGAUCGGAGAGCUCUGUUAGUAGGGAAGAAAAAACGUGUAAGGAACGGGGCACGGCGCGACGUGACCUAAUCAGAAAGCCACGGCGAACUACGUG